UUCUCCGAGAGAUGGCUGUAGAUGAUGCUCCGUCUUCGUGCCACUCGCCCGCAUCAGCAUCGUGAUAUCACGUUCAUGUUUGCGAAGCGCAGUGGAGGGAGUUGUGAGACGUGUUCUUGUGAACUGGGAGUGGAAACGCGUGGGGGCAAAUGGUACGGGACUAUCUGCGUACCACGAAGCAGGAGAAGACUUCGUGAAGGAAGAAGACGAGCAGAACGAGCUGCAGAGACGACAGCGAACGCUCCGCGAAGUUUCCCUGCCUCCCAUGUUGCAUGGCUGCUGGCUUCUCACCUGAUAACAUUCAAGGUACGAGUAGUAGCUUGAAAGAGUGGGACUUACCGACGACGGAGAGGGAUACAUUGAGGCUCAUCUUGGGCUCGGUGGACACUUGGCACUCGUAGACGCCGGCGUCUUUCCUUUGCGCGUAUGUGAUCUCUAGGGUCCAAUCCUCGGACGCCUCCAGGUGGAUCGACUUGAAACGCUGGUCCGAAGUAUAAGUAUAUGUGCCCACCGUCAGGAUGUGCAGGUCGUGCUGCCGGACCCACGAUACCUGCGUAGAAAAUAAGGACCUUCACGCUAUGCUCGCAUUCGUAGACACUGACGAAGACUUCCUUUCACGAACACAUAUGGAGUGCGAAAGUGAACUGAAAGACUGCACCGUCAGAAGAGAAAGAGAGAGAAAAGUCAGUGCAAAGCACAGUGUUUUGCGCGUAAAGCGUCUGUGCCACGUCUUCUGCGAGUUCAGGGGGAUGAUUCAUGUAACCUGCACACACAUAAAACCUUCUUUUUUCUUUUUAUA